rnacentral:rRNA from 1 species
CGCUAUCACUCCUACGGGAGGCAGCAGUGGGGGAAUAUUGCACAAUGGGGGAAACCCUGAUGCAGCCAUGCCGCGUGUGUGAAGAAGGCCUUCGGGUUGUAAAGCACUUUCAGUAGGGAGGAAGGUAGUGUAGUUAACACCUGCAUUAUUUGACGUUACCUACAGAAGAAGCACCGGCUAACUCCGUGCCAGCAGCCGCGGUAAUACGGAGGGUGCGAGCGUUAAUCGGAAUUACUGGGCGUAAAGCGCAUGCAGGCGGCCUGUUAAGUCAGAUGUGAAAGCCCGGGGCUUAACCUCGGAAUUGCAUUUGAAACUGGCAGGCUAGAGUCUUGUAGAGGGGGUAGAAUUUCAGGUGUAGCGGUGAAAAUGCGUAGAGAUCUGAAGGAAUACCAGUGGCGAAGGCGGCCCCCUGGACAAAGACUGACGCUCAGAUGCGAAAAGCGUGGGGAGCAAACAGGAUUAGAUACCCCUGGUAG